AUACCAGACUUAAAGAUUUUGCUAUUUUAAUAUGUAUAGAAGUUAUAUGAACAAAUUUAUAAUUACUGAAAUUAAAUUCAAAGGAGACCUUCGCUCAGAAUCCUUCUAGCCAAAAAAUAGGACUGUUUUAAUUUCAUAAUCAUUUGUAUUCAUAAUACAAAAGCAAAUUUUAGCAUCAUAUCAGAAUUUCCUGUGUUACCACAUCAUCUUAUGAUGCUCAUUCUAAUGAAUCCAUAAUGUUCAAUCAAAUUUAAUCAAUAUUUAGUCUAAUUAGGAUAAUUAGAUUGUUACCAACUGUCCCCACCAUUGAUAUUGUUGAAAUACUUUUCUUUAGAACUGUCACUUCUUCUUUAUUUUAGCGUUGGGUUCACCAUUCCUAGGUUUAAACUCUGUCACUCCCGCUUACGAACAGUGAUUUUUGGCAAAUUAUUUACCUUAACUAAGUUUUAGAAUUUUCAUCUUUGGAAUGAAGUCACUGUUCAUUACUUGGCAAGAUUUCUUGGGAACUAAACUCUAAAAAUAUUGUAUUCAUUCCACACAUAUUUAAUGGACACGUAGUCUUUGGCAAGGACUGUUCGAGAUUUUAUGUAUGCUGCACUGAAGAAAACAGAAUAUCCUGCUGCCCUAUCAUAUUGCUAACAUCGGGAAAAUAUACAGUAUUAUAUACAUGGUAAUGAUAGAUGCUCAGGAUAAAAAUGAAGUAGUACAAAGAAGAUAGAGAGGGCCGAGGUGGAAGUCAUUAUUUCUAUUGAGUGGUUGUCUCAGAGUUUCAGAUGAGGUGAUAUUUGGGCCAAGAUGUGCAGAAGGCAAUGGAACAAGUGAUCUGACCAUCUAGGCGCGUGGAGUGGGGGUAAAGGAGAAUAUUAAAGGCGGAGAAAACGAGCUGAAAGGUUGCAUUCGUAGAGCAGAAAAGAGGCCAAUGAGACAGAAGCAAAGCGAGAGAGAAGGGGUAGGAGAUAGGGCCAGAGAUAAAUGAGGACGGGAGUGGGGGUUGCUCAUGAUUUAGAGUCUUGUAGGCCAUGGAAAGGAUUUGACUUCCUCUCUGAGUGAGACGGGAGUUAUUGCAGGGAUUUGAGUAGCGAGGAGAGACAACUGGAUUUAAGAUUUGAUAGGUUCCUUUUGGCUGCUGUGCUGAGAGUAUAUUCUAGGUUGGUGGUGGUAGAAGAAGGGGGACCGUUUAGAAGGCUACUGUAAAACCCAGGCUGGAAAUGGGAGUGGCUGAAGGGAAGAUCAUACAAAGAAGGGGAGAGAAGGAGUUGCAUUCUGGAUUUAUUUAAAAAAUAGGACUGAAAGUAUUUGAUGGCAAGUAGUUUGUAGGACGACGUUUGCGAGAGGAAGGAGUUGAGGGGGGAUCUCAACCGUUUUUCCCCGAGGCAGUUGAAAGAAUGGCAUUGUCAUUUCAUGAUGUGUGGAAGGAAAAUCAGAAAUUGAUUUUGACACAUUAUGUUUGAAAUUUGUAUUAUACUGUUCGGAGGUAUUCCAUAGACUGUUGAAUUUGUGAGUCUAGAGGAAGAUCCUUGCUAGAUUAUUAAACUUGAAAAUGGUCAAUAUGUAGAAGGUUUUCUAAUCCAUAAACAUGGAUGCUCGGCGAGAGAUGAGUGAGGUUAGGGAGGAAAAUAACUUGGAAGGCUGAGCCACUACGCAGUGCAAAUAUUUAACAGCGGUUGGGCCAUAGAAAUCAGCAAAGGAGAGAGAGAAUCAUUAGCCAGUGACUGAGGAGCAGAAGCAAGAGAAAGUUGUCUUCUGGAAGCCUAGUGAAGAGUAUUUGUCAAUAAGGAUGGAGUGACUUAUAAUAAGAGCACUACAAAGAAAAAAAUAAUUAUUUCUCAUUAAUUGUAUUGGAUGGCAACUUGGUAAUAUGUAUAAAAAUUACAAAUGCAUGCAUCUUUCAACUCAGUACUUCCAUUUUCAGGAACUUAAAUUGUAUAUAUAAUGUGGAAUUAUGUAUGAAAUAAUUAUGUAUGAAUACUGAAUUUUCAAUGAAAUAUCUUAUGUAAUAGCAGAAGAUUCAUCUAUGAUAGACUGGCUGUGUAACUUACUGUGCAUCCAUAUAAUGGAAUAUUAUGUAGUUCUAGAAAAGAUGAGCAAGUCCUCUCUGUAAGUAGUAUAAAAAAAUUCCAUGUUACAUUAUGAAGUGAACGCAUAUAGAGUAGACUAUCUUAUUUAUAGUAAUGGGAGGAAGUAAUAAUAUAACCCACCGUUGUUAUGUGUGCAUGAAUAAACAUCGGAAAUAUAUACAAGAAAAUAGUAAAAAUGUUACUACGUGGUGGGCAGAUAUGGAAGGAGAUAGGUCGCAGUGGGGUUGGGAGUGAGCAUUUUAACUAUAUACUAAAUAGAAAUCAUUUUUAUGGUUGAAUCAUAUUUUUUAAAAGGAAGAAGGAAGGCGAGAAGAGAUUACAUUUUUAAGCACUGCUAACAGGUUGCUAAGAUAAACUGAAAUAAACUGACCAUCAGAUUUAGUAAAGGAUUCAUUUCAAUAAAGAAAAUACCUUCUAGACGUUGCGUUGGAAAGGGGAGGAGAUGUGGAAUGAUGGCUAGAAGAGGAUAUGAGAAAAGAAUGUUGUUAGUUUAUGUAGCGAUGAGAAUAAUAGGUUAGAAAGGAAAACAUUGAUGAGGCUGAGAGAGAGAUAAUUGCCGUUGGGUGAGAGACCCAGCAGUGAUGCCGUUCCCUUCGAACUUUGGUUUCACCUGAGACGAGUAUCAGACUGUCCUCUCAGCAGACAUGUGUAACGCCUUCCUUCAUUUCCUUACCUCUCUGCGCUUUUGAACUGUUUCUCUGUUUUGCGACAGCAGUUCAGACUUUUUAGAGAUCUGAGCUCAUGGCCUUAUGUGGACUGGACAUCUAGUUUAUUCUUCAGAACCAUCCUGUGAUCUUCGUACUGCUGUUCCCAUUCCACAGAUAAAGAAAUUGAUAUUCAGGGUACCUUGCCCAUGCUUUUACAGUGGAUAGUAGUGCAUUCUAGAUUCAAACGUCAGCUCUUUCUGAAUCUAGAGGGUUUGGGUUUGGUUUGGUUUUCCGUAUUGUUAUGACUUUCAUGGGGAUGCUGAAAGGACUUCAGAGGACCAGCCUGUUACUUCAAGCAGUAAUAAAAUUUUCCUCUAUUUGUUCAUUCAACACUAGCUAUUGAGCACCUGUCUUGCAUUGGGCACUGAUCUAGGUAUGGAAAUAAAGGGAUGAAUGAAAUGGAUGUGAGUUCUGGCCUUAUUUUGCCCCUAAUCUUUUGAAGGAGAUUCAGCAAAUCCAUAUGGUUAUAAGAGGUGUUACAAUAGGCAAGAUGGUGUCUGUGAGUAGAAACUCUGUUCUAUGCUGAGGGGAUGGGCAAUAAUAAAAAAUGCUGUGGGCUGUAAAGAAAAUAGGGAUAAACUAUUCUUUUUUUCUUCUUCUUCUUUUUUUUAGCCUUUUUGCCUUUUCUAGGGCCGCACCCAGUGCAUAUGGAGGUUCCCAGGCUAGGGAUCCAGUGGGAGUUGUAGCCGCUGGCUUACACCAGAGCCACAGCAACGUCAGAUCUGAGCCGCGUCUGCAACCUACACCACAGCUCACGGCAGCGCCAGAUCCUUAACCCACUGAGCAAGGCCAGGGAUCGAACUCGCAACAUCAUGGUUCCCAGUCUGAUUCAUUAACCACUGAGCCACGAUGGGAACUCCAGGAUAAACUAUUUUGUCUUCAUUCAUUCACAUAAAUUAUUUGGUCAAAAUAAUUAUAAAUAAUCAUAGUAAAUUCGAAUUGAAAAGAAUCAAGAAUCACAGAAGAAAAUAUCCUAUAAGUACCUCAUAUAUUAGGGACUAAAAAAACCAAUGUUUUAUGGUACUUAAUAUGAAAUAAAAACAGUUUUUUUAAUUAAUUUAACUCAAUCCUAAAUGAGUCACAGUUUUAGAAAACUUGAAAAUAAAACUGAAUCAUCUGAAAGGUUUUCUUUGGUGAUCUCUUAAAAGUUUCAUGAAAGAAUUACAGAUAUUAUCUUUCAUCUUUAAAACCAUGUUCUUUGGCUCUCUAGAGGAAAUGGGGUGGGAAUAAAUAAUAUAUUUGUAAACCCAGGGUAGAAUAUAAUCUUGAUGUUAUGGGUAAGAGUUGGCAUAAACAAAACAGCUUAAAGUACAAAUAAUGCUAAAGUGUAGGAGGUGUGGGGAGAGACACAAGACUGAGAUGCAAUAAAAAAAGACAAGCACAUGACAUAAGUCCCUCAAUGUUUUAAAACUGAUUGUCAUCACAAGCAGAAAGUUUUCAGCCUUUUUGUAUUUCCGAUCCCGUACUUUGUUCCAGAGUCAUGAGAAUUAUAAAGAAUAACACAGUGUUUACCUUUUAAGAUUUUCUCCUUCUAAAACUGUGAUGCACCAUAACCAGAUUUUCUUCUUUUACAUUUUAGUCAAGCGGCGGAAGAGAAUUUUCUGAAUUAGACUUGAGGGAGAUGCUGUUGUGUGAUUUCCUUAACAUAUCCAGAUACUUUGGUGUGGUGUGCCCAUCUUUCCGUUCAAGAAGAGCAAGAGAAAGCCCUGGAUGUUGUUCAUGUAUGGAAAGCAGUCGUAACUUCCUUCAUUGUCUUUCUGCCUUCUUCCAACCCGGCACCUCGUGGCUUGAGCAUUCUUGAGGGAUUCCCUUUCAUUUCCUUGAUAAAGAAUCCACCCAUGAAAAUGUACAGCGUAGAUCAUCUCAUCUGAUCCCUGCCAUCUCCUAAACUUCCUUAACUUCCUGUCCUCAUCACUUUCUAAAUUCUCUCCCAUUCCCAGAAAAAUCCAUUCUGUUUCUCACUGUUCUGUAUUCAUGCAAUGCCUACAGUGUCAUCCUGCCUGCUCGUUGCCUUCCUCACUCAUCAAGACUCAGAUCAAAUGGUCCCCGCUUCUGGGUUGGCUUCCUUGACCUCUUCAAGUGGAGUUAAUCACCUCUGCCUCUCUGUUGCCAUCAUGUGUUUCUCUGGUCUUUGUUAGUUAUUUGCUUGUUUAUCUAUCUAGCUUUGUUCCCAGAUGGGAAGGCCAGUUGCAGUCACUUUAGUGUCACUGACCAGAGCCUGGUCUAUACUUGUUGUUUAAAAAUAUACAUGUUUAAUAAGUCUUUGGGGGGUACAGAGUGGGUGAGUGAACAUCAGAGAAUAAUAAGUAGGCUCGUAGAAUAGCCUGCUAGCUUUGAACCUGUCUCAUGGGGAUUUAUGGCUACUGGUUAGGGGAAAAAAAAGAGGCAGAUUAUGCAAAAGAGCUGGGAAAAAAAGGACAACUGGAGUUGGACAAAUUUUGAAAGAAUUGCAGUUUGUGUAUUUCCUGCAUUUAUUUCUAAAGGGCACCGCUUCAAGAGUGUUUCGUUGGAGUGUGGUUUUAAUAAAGUCUAGAGCCAUUUGCUUGUCCUCAAGAUGUUCCUUGUAACUCUGAGGCUAUAUCUAAAUUAAAGCUAAUGACCAAACAGAGAUUUUUUUUUUCCUCUGUUAAUGUCUAGCAGGAAAGAACCAUUAGCAAAUUUGUGAAUUAGAGUCUGUUUAUAAGUUAUUGAGAAGAAUCGUCAUGUAUUCCCUUAAGCAAUUCCCUCUGCCUUAAAAAAGUUAAGUACAACUGAUAUGUUCAGUGAGCAAGACUCAUGGGAUGUAAUCAAAAGCAACUUUAUUUCGUCUCCCACUAUUCUAAUAAAAUUUAUUCAGUGGGGAAGUUCCACUUCUGACCCUGAAUAAAAAGUCUUGCAGUCCAAAGAUUUUCUCUCCACUCAUAGGUAAUAAAAAGCCCUGCAGCCACUUUAAGUCACACACACAGUCUCCAUUGAAUAAUUAGAAAUGCCCAGAGCCCCGUGUAAUAAUCAGAGCUUCAAACUUUAUUCACAGUGAGAGGACGCCUUGUCCUCACAAGGGCUGGUCGCAGACCAGCCCUUUGACUUCUGUCUUACCUCCUUCUCCCUCACGUGUGGUUUUAUUUGUUGCUGCUAGAGUUGAAGUUCUGAAGGAGGGGUCAGGCAGAGGCCCAGGAGGUCUUAGUUGGCUGACACUGCUGCACAGCGGCAUUGGGGCUCUCAGUCUGCUUCUCCCACUCACAGGCUCUUGGUUGGGUUCUUCGGGAACUGCAUUGGGAGCCUCAGACGGUACUUCGUGGGCUGUGGGUCACUCAGGAUGUAGGCGACGCAGUCUCUUCUGCCUGACUCUUCCUGCAGCAGCCCCUCACGAUGGUCUUUCCCAGUUGAGGUGACCUGGCCCCUCCAGACAGUCCUCUUCAGCCUCCUUUCUGCAGCCUCCAGGUGGCCGCUCACCCGCCUGGGUCACAGGUAUGAACCCUUGCCCUCCUGAGCAGUGAAGGGGAGCCCCACGGAUUGGUACAGCCCAUGCUGACCUCUUUCACUGCUCACCACUUCCCGCUGAGAGCAGAACCUCUUUCCUCUCGAGUCCUUGGGCAUAUGUCCGAUCACCGUCCACUGUGCCUCCUCACCUCCUGGUGGUACAGGCCAGAGCACACAUUUCAGCCCCUUUGUUCAGGCUGAGUCUGAGGGCCGUGCAUCUCCUCCCCCUCCCACUCACAGCACACUGCUGUCUGCCUCUGAAGAUGACCCUCUUGGAGCUCCCUGGUGGCACAGCAGAUGAAGGAUCCAGUGUUGUUGUCCCUGCUCUGGCGUGGGUCUGAUGCCUGGCCGGGGAUGCUGUGGGUGUGGCAGACGGACAGUGACCCUCCCCAUCAAUCCCAUGCCAGUUUUCAAAAACUUUCCCAUUUUCCCUCCUUGAUGGGAGUGAGGGUUUUCAAGUGUCCUGUAACCGCUUUUCAGCAUUCCUUUUUAAAUUCUUCACAGUUUCUUUGGAAUCCAUCUUCUAUGGUAUCUUAGGGACUACGACGAAAUUUUCAAAUUAAAGUCUUGCAACUCAAGUAAAUAUUCACAAAACAGAAGUAAGUAGACUUCCGAAUCUGUGGCCCUUCACUGAUGGGCAUUACUGACUCUUCCGUAUGAAUUGCGGGCUCAUGAUCUGUAGAGGCCCUUAAGUAACAAAUGAAUUAAUUGUUCGUUAUGCCUUUGAUGUAGAUCUUGUCUUGAGACCCUCACAGGCCUAGCGAGUGGAGAGGUGAACAAGUGAAUCUUAGUAAUUGUUCUUUAGAAAUUCUCUAGCCAGUAAAUGGAGUGGAUUCUGGUUUGGACUGGAAAGGUGCUUAUUCGUAAAAAGGACACGGUAAAAUUUUCAAAAUAAGUGUAUGAUGAAUGAAGUAAACAACAGUCAGGUAACUAGGCUAGCCGUGCAGGAACUCACUUAUGUUCCUGUAAGGACUAGACUUACUGUGAAUGCUAAGAACAGAGGAAUAUAUGGUAUUGGUAGAAGAGUUUUUUUCCCCUCCGUUUGUCUUAGACUGAGUAGGACAGAGUAUUUAAGUAGAUGGUUUGUUUUUGAUGUGACAUCUCUAACUCCCUACCCCAGUCUUUUUUUCAGAGUUUUCUGCAAUCCUAAUUUACCUCCCCUUUUCAUAACUACAUUUCCCACCCGUACCACUUACUGGUCUAAGUUGGAGAUAGCAGAAAGUGUUCCUAUUGAAUUAAUGCAUACCAGUGUUUAAAUGGCUGGAAAUAGUUUAGUUUAUCUCUGCUAGGGAUCCAGUAUUUGCAUCUUUAAAAAGAGAGGCUUAUUGUUCUAAAAUAAUUUAAUUUGUGAAGGGAUAAAAUUACCUCCCAUAGGGGCUGGCUUAUAGUACACUUUCAAUGUUACUUGUGGAUGAAUGAAUAAAUAUUGGGCUCUCAGGCAGUAUAAAAAAAAAUAAAGUGAACAUUUUAUGCAGUUUAGGGAAGAUACUGUUAGACACAGGUGGCAUCUUUUUAAACUGACUUGCUCUACCUUGAGGGUCAGUGCCUUAGAUUGCGUUUUGCUUUGCAGAGUUCUAACAGUGAAACCCAUAGAGUAUUUCAAAAUCUAAACGUUUUGCAACUCACACAUGGAAGUAGGAAAAAAGGCAGUAGAAGAGGGGCAUUGAAAUUGUGUUGGGAAUUGUAAUGGCGAAGUUACUUGUUAGUCCACAUUUGAAAACUGCGGGGCUCUGAACUGAAAUACAGUAUGGGUAGAGUGUGAAAAUCAGGUUUUACCUGACUUUUAUUUAGCUUUUUGGUUUAAAUUAUCUGGCUCCUUCUAUCAAGACCAUAUUUGCUGAGCUCAUUGGUUUCUUUCAUAGCUAUUUUUCUUCUCUCAGUAAACCAAACUAAACUGUACCAAAGACUGGGCCCAAUGAGGGACAGGGAAAAAAAAAAAAAA
rnacentral:lncRNA from 1 species